GACGAACGCUGGCGGCGUGCUUAACACAUGCAAGUCGAGCGGUAAGGCCUCUUCGGGGGUACACGAGCGGCGAACGGGUGAGUAACACGCGGGUGACCUGCCCUCAGCUCUGGGAUAAGCCUGGGAAACUGGGUCUAAUACCGGCUAUGACCUUUCCUCGCAUGGGGUUUGGUGGAAAGUUUUUUCGGCUGGGGAUGGGCCCGCGGCCUAUCAACUUGUUGGUGGGGUGAUGGCCUACCAAGGCGACGACGGGUAGCCGGCCUGAGAGGGCGACCGGCCACACUGGGACUGAGACACGGCCCAGACUCCUACGGGAGGCAGCAGUGGGGAAUAUUGCGCAAUGGGCGGAAGCCUGACGCAGCGACGCCGCGUGGGGGAUGACGGCCUUCGGGUUGUAAACCUCUUUCGACCCCGACGAAUUUGGACGGUAGGGGUAGAAGAAGCACCGGCCAACUACGUG
rnacentral:rRNA from 1 species